GUAGUAGCAAAUACUCCAGCGAGGCCCUGGAGGGCUGACGCUUGGGCGAAAGGGAAUCCGGUUCCUAUUCCGGAACCCGGCAGCGGAACCGAUACAAGUCGGGCCCCUCUUUUAGAGAUGCUCGUCGGGGUAACCCAAAAGGACCCGGAGACGCCGUCGGGAGAUCGGGGAAGAGUUUUCUUUUCUGCAUGAGCGUUCGAGUUCCCUGGAAUCCUCUAGCAGGGAGAUAGGGUUUGGAACGCGAAGAGCACCGCAGUUGCGGCGGUGUCCCGAUCUUCCCCUCGGACCUUGAAAAUCCGGGAGAGGGCCACGUGGAGGUGUCGCGCCGGUUCGUACCCAUAUCCGCAGCAGGUCUCCAAGGUGAAGAGCCUCUAGUCGAUAGAAUAAUGUAGGUAAGGGAAGUCGGCAAAUUGGAUCCGUAACUUCGGGAUAAGGAU
rnacentral:rRNA from 1 species